AAGUAAAAGAAAACUGAAGAAUUUUUUCACCAGCAGAUCUGCACUACAAAAAAAUGCCAAAGGAAUUUCUUCAAGGUGGUGGGAACUGACGAUUGAAACUUGGAUAUUUAGGAGGUAAUGAAGAACACUGAAAAUGUUAAGAGGCAGAUAUUGUCGAAGGAUGUAGAAGCAGGAUGUGACCAUGUGCACUUUACGUACAAAGAUGGGGCACAGGUGAGCGGAUGCAAAAAUGUGUGCCACACACACAGGAAGCAGCAGAAGUCGAGGUGUCCACAUGAAUCACAGAUAAAAUCGUCUUUGAGACGAAGAGUGUCGCUAGGCCUGGAUGGCCUUUUUGUAAUGAUAAAACGGUCAGUUUAUUUAGAAGACGUAACCAUCAUAAAUGGGAAUGCGUCCAAUAAUAGAACUUUAAAUACAUGAAGAAAAAAAAGGCUGCGGCAGAUUUAAGGGAUAAACAGACGUUCCCAUGAUCGUAGUUGGAGAUUUUAGGCUCCUACAGCAGCAACUGAAAGAACAACCAGACGAAGAGUUGGUGAAGUCACAGGUAAUCGGAACGGCACUACCAACCACCUUGACCUAAUUAACCUUUACCGAGUGCCACACCCGGCAGCAGGGGAAUACAUGUUCUUUGCAAGCGCGCAUGAUACUGUCACCAAUGUAGACCAGAUUCUGGGGCGUCAAACAAAGCCCAAUAAAUUUAGAAGAAUUGAAAUCACAUGAAGACUACCAUGAAAUCAAAUUAGCAAUAAAGAUCAUAUCUAGGAAAAACCUAAAUAUAUGAAAAUGUUUUAAAAAAAGAAAGAAAAAGGGGCCAUACUACUAAAUAAUCCAUGUAUCAGAGAAGAAAUCAUAAUGGAAGGGAGGAAAUAAUUUGAGGUGAACACUAAUGCAAAAUGUCACCAUUUGGGACACAGAGUUAAAGUAGUACCUGGAUGCUUAGGUUAGAAAUAAAUAAAAAUAGAAAAGAACAGUCUAAAUCAAUGACUAAUGUUCCACCUUAAGAAACGAGAGAUAUAUUUGACUCCACCCUCUGGCCACAGCUGAUGGUCCAGGGGUGAGCUCCUCACCCUACUGGGCCAAUCUGGUAUAUAGACAUAGAUAUAGAUAGAUACACAUAUAUGUAUACGUAUAGGUAUAGAUAUAGAGCAAAGUAAAUGCAAAUCAGUAGAAGGAAGGAAAUAAUAAAGAACAGAAAUAA
rnacentral:lncRNA from 1 species